UGUACCUCCCUCCCCAAAGGGAACAAGGCGAACUCUCUUCCUGCAGAGCCUGAGCCAAGUCAUCAUGUGAAUUCAGCCUCCUUUCCCACCUGACCUUUACAGCCACUUUCCAGCAGCAAAAUGAAAUUUCCUGAUUGAAGCGCCAAUGAGGAAGGAAAUGUUCCAGGAAAGGGAAGAGGCCAACAGAGCUACAAACUCAAUAACGCAAGUAGUUGGGAGGACAGACAAAGUAGGUUUCUUCCAGAUGACCAGCAGCACCUGCAACUUGUUAGAAAUGCAAUUUCUCCAGCCCCAGCCCAGACGUACCCAAUCGGAAACAUGCUGGGGCCCAGCCGCCUAUAUUCUAACAAGGCUCCAGGUGAUUCUGAUGCAGGCUCAAGUUUGAGAACCGUUGUUCUAAAGUAUAAUGAAAGAGAAAGAAGUACUGACACAGAGAGUUGGACUCUGUCUCCAUGACACCAAAUCAAGAACUGCCUCCUUCUCCGUCUUUCGCCACCACCUGGGAGACUCUGUUGGCAGAAGACAGAGCAGAACGGUUUCUGUGGCAGACUGAGGUUGUGAUGCAAACAGCUCUGAUGACAUUUCCUUGAGUGGUGCCCUGUCACCUGAAAAGCCACUUCUGCUUCUCGAUCACGCCCCAGUCCUAAAAUGGUCACAGAGAAUUAAUCAUCUGAAACCCACAUGUCAGCACAGAUGGGGGAGGGAGGAGGCCUGUAGUGAUAAAUGACAAUGUCUUCAAAGCAAGUUCUAAAACCACAGUUUCAGUGAAUGAAAUGCUUUUGUCUAAUAAACUUUAUUUAUGUGGAGUUUACCCAUAAUGGACAUUUUAAACAUAUAGUUCAAUAGAGUUUGACAAAUGCUACACGCCUCUGUAAUCACCACCACAGUCAAGAUUAUAGAACAUUUCUAUCACUCCAGAAAGUUCCCUUGUGCCCUUCCCCAGAAAUGGCCACAGGAAAUAUUUUUUAUUUUAUAAGCCAUAGAACAUUUAUUUGAACAUUUUUAAAAUUGGAGUAGCAUAAAGAAGAAUCCGUUCACUUGCCAGAAAAAAACAUUUAGAUCUUAAAUCCUUAACAUAAAAUCAGAUAACACUUCCCUCAGCAUAGUUUUAGCAUGAACUAACUACUAAUGAGAAGACAUUGCCAUAGUACUUUCAAACAUGGCUAACAUUUGAAGUGUAACAUUCACCCAAAAAUCUGAGUGGGAAAGGAAUGCUUUAGCUUACUUGAUACAUCCUGAAGUUAUAAAGGUAGUACUAAGUCUACGUGGUAGGUAGCUCACAUUGGCGAGAAGACUGGAAGAGGGAGGAAGCAAAAAUGGAAAGAAAAAAGACCACGUAAAAUACAUAUCAUUCAUGUACUUAUGUAAAAUUAUACAUAUGUAUGUACAUAUGUGGAAGUUGAAUUUAAAAUACAAAAAAAAAAUUACAGAGACCUCAAUUCUUGCAAAAUUUUAAAAGUCUCCUAGUGAACUCCCUUCAAAACAUGUCCAGUUUUAUGUCACAUCAAAUAACUUUCUCGUCCAUCUUAAAAAAUAAAAACAAACUACAAUCUAGAAGAGAUUAUUGACUGAUGGAAAUAGAGUCUGAGAUUUGGAGUGAAAAGUGCUUUCUCAGCCUGCAGCUGAACAUUCUGCUCCGAAAGUGCUUCCCUGCCUGCUUCUCCACAAAUCAAUAAUAGAUCAGACAAGAACUUUUGUUGUUGCUACUUUCUAAGAGAUGCAGAAAACUGGGCAAGUCGGGAGCCCAACGAGAAUUCUUGACUGUAAACCCCAUAUCCAUCUCUGUCAAGUGCAGUCUGUGGAAGCAUUUCGGAAGGAGAGCCACUUUCAGCCUGCUCUCUUCAAAGCAGUCUGCAGCUAGGAAGCUCCAGUGAUUUCUAGUGUGACUUCUUAAGCAAACCUUAAAAUUGGUUCAUGCCAUUAGAAAAUGAAAUUAUAGCUGAAAUUUUAUCCAAAAACUGACAUUGGUAAGGAAAUCUAGGAGGAAAAAAACCCACAAUUGCACAACAAAAGAUUUACCUUACUUUUUAAAAUAUAAAAACAAUUCACUAAUAAAAAUAUGGUAAGGAAACAAAACAGAUGAAUGUUGGGGGGAAGGGAAGGAAACAUAAGAUAAAAACAGAGAGGGAGGCAAUGCAUAAGGGACUCUUAAAUACAGAGAAUAA